AAAUAAGAAGCAAUUUUGCAUUUAGUUUCGACCUAAAAAAUUGAUAAUAUUAUCCUUAUUUU
rnacentral:tRNA from 1 species